rnacentral:rRNA from 1 species
CACGUAGUUAGCCGGGGCUUCUUGGUCAGGUACCGUCAUUUCUUUCUUCCCUGCUGAUAGAGCUUUACAUACCGAGAUACUUCUUCACUCACGCGGCGUCGCUGGAUCAGGGUUCCCCCCAUUGUCCAAUAUUCCCCACUGCUGCCUCCCGUAGGAGUUCGGGCCGUGUCUCAGUCCCAAUGUGGCCGUCCACCCUCUCAGGCCGGCUACUGAUCGUCGCCUUGGUGGGCCGUUACCCCGCCAACAAGCUAAUCAGACGCGGGUCCAUCAUAUACCACCGGAGUUUUUCACACUGAGCCAUGCAGCUCCGUGCGCUUAUGCGGUAUUAGCACCUAUUUCUAAGUGUUAUCCCCCUGUAUAUGGCAGGUUACCCACGCGUUACUCACCCGUCCGCCACUAAGCCGCCAACAUUUCCACUCUUAGCAAGCUAAUCGCUUCAAAAAUGGUGGCCCCGUUCGACUUGCAUGUGUUAAGCACGCCGCCAGCGUUCAUCCUGAGCCAGGAUA